rnacentral:rRNA from 1 species
ACUCCUACGGGAGGCAGCAGUGGGGAAUUUUCCGCAAUGGGCGAAAGCCUGACGGAGCAAUGCCGCGUGAAGGUAGAAGGCCUACGGGUCAUGAACUUCUUUUCCCGGAGAAGAAGCAAUGACGGUAUCCGGGGAAUAAGCAUCGGCUAACUCUGUGCCAGCAGCCGCGGUAAU